rnacentral:rRNA from 1 species
GAUGAACGCUAGCGGCAGGCCUAAUACAUGCAAGUCGAACGGUAACAUGAGAGCUUGCUCUUGAUGACGAGUGGCGCACGGGUGCGUAACGCGUAUGCAACCUACCCUUUACUGGGGGAUAGCCCGGAGAAAUUCGGAUUAAUACCCCAUAGUAUCAUGAGACAGCAUUGUUUAAUGAUUAAAGAUUUAUUGGUAAAGGAUGGGCAUGCGUGACAUUAGUUAGUUGGUGAGGUAACGGCUCACCAAGACGAUGAUGUCUAGGGGUUCUGAGAGGAUGAUCCCCCACACUGGUACUGAGAUACGGACCAGACUCCUACGGGAGGCAGCAGUAGGGAAUAUUGGUCAAUGGGCGAGAGCCUGAACCAGCCAUGCCGCGUGCAGGAAGACGGCCUUCUGGGUUGUAAACUGCUUUUAUACGGGAACAAAUAGUCCAUGCGUGGAAAGUUGAGUGUACCGUAUGAAUAAGCACCGGCUAACUCCGUGCCAGCAGCCGCGGUAAUACGGAGGGUGCAAGCGUUGUCCGGAUUUAUUGGGUUUAAAGGGUGCGUAGGUGGCGUGUUAAGUCAGUGGUGGAAGCCUGCAGCUCAACUGUAGAGGUGCCAUUGAUACUG